rnacentral:rRNA from 1 species
AAUCCAUAGGUUAAUGAGGCGAACCGGGGGAACUGAAACAUCUAAGUACCCCGAGGAAAAGAAAUCAACCGAGAUUCCCCCAGUAGCGGCGAGCGAACGGGGAGGAGCCCAGAGCCUGAAUCAGCAUGUGUGUUAGUGGAAGCGUCUGGAAAGGCGCGCGAUACAGGGUGACAGCCCCGUACACAAAAGCGCAUGUGCUGUGAGCUCGAUGAGUAGGGCGGGACACGUGGUAUCCUGUCUGAAUAUGGGGGGACCAUCCUCCAAGGCUAAAUACUCCUGACUGACCGAUAGUGAACCAGUACCGUGAGGGAAAGGCGAAAAGAACCCCGGCGAGGGGAGUGAAAAAGAACCUGAAACCGUGUACGUACAAGCAGUGGGAGCCCCACCACUAAGCCAGUGGUGAACUCCACAUCCGCAUCCUUUGCUGAGGAUACGGUUAACGGAGCGAAAGCGACGUUCAACCGCAAAACAAGCAGAGGGGGCUUAGUGGUGGGGUGACUGCGUACCUUUUGUAUAAUGGGUCAGCGACUUAUAUUCUGUAGCAAGGUUAACCGUAUAGGGGAGCCGGAGGGAAACCGAGUCUUAACCGGGCGUUAAGUUGCAGGGUAUAGACCCGAAACCCGGUGAUCUAGCCAUGGGCAGGUUGAAGGUUGGGUAACACUAACUGGAGGACCGAACCGACUAAUGUUGAAAAAUUAGCGGAUGACCUGUGGCUGGGGGUGAAAGGCCAAUCAAACCGGGAGAUAGCUGGUUCUCCCCGAAAGCUAUUUAGGUAGCGCCUCGUGAAUUCAUCUCCGGGGGUAGAGCACUGUUUCGGCUAGGGGGCCAUCCCGGCUUACCAACCCGAUGCAAACUGCGAAUACCGGAGAAUGUUAUCACGGGAGACACACGGCGGGUGCUAACGUCCGUCGUGAAGAGGGAAACAACCCAGACCGCCAGCUAAGGUCCCAAAGUCAUGGUUAAGUGGGAAACGAUGUGGGAAGGCCCAGACAGCCAGGAUGUUGGCUUAGAAGCAGCCAUCAUUUAAAGAAAGCGUAAUAGCUCACUGGUCGAGUCGGCCUGCGCGGAAGAUGUAACGGGGCUAAACCAU